rnacentral:rRNA from 1 species
AGCCCUUGACAUCCCGAUCGCGGUUACCGGAGACGGUAUCCUUCAGUUAGGCUGGAUCGGUGACAGGUGCUGCAUGGCUGUCGUCAGCUCGUGUCGUGAGAUGUUGGGUUAAGUCCCGCAACGAGCGCAACCCUCGCCCCUAGUUGCCAGCAUUCAGUUGGGCACUCUAGGGGGACUGCCGGUGAUAAGCCGAGAGGAAGGUGGGGAUGACGUCAAGUCCUCAUGGCCCUUACGGGCUGGG